AUACGAAGGGUGCAAGCGUUAAUCGGAAUUACUGGGCGUAAAGCGCGCGUAGGUGGUUCGUUAAGUUGGAUGUGAAAGCCCCGGGCUCAACCUGGGAACUGCAUCCAAACUGGCGAGCUAGAGUAUGGCAGAGGGUGGUGGAAUUUCCUGUGUAGCGGUGAAAUGCGUAGAUAUAGGAAGGAACACCAGUGGCGAAGGCGACCACCUGGGCUAAUACUGACACUGAGGUGCGAAAGCGUGGGGAGCAAACAGGAUUAGAUCCCCUGGUAGUCCACGCCGUAAACGAUGUCGACUAGCCGUUGGGAUCCUUGAGAUCUUAGUGGCGCAGCUAACGCAUUAAGUCGACCGCCUGGGGAGUACGGCCGCAAGGUUAAAACUCAAAUGAAUUGACGGGG
rnacentral:rRNA from 1 species